UACCCCUACGGGGCAGCAGUGGGGGAUAUUGGACAAUGGGGGGCACCCUGAUCCAGCGACGCCGCGUGAGUAAAGAAGUAUUUCGGUAUGUAAAGCUCUGUCAGCAGGGAAGAAAGAAAUGACGGUACCUGACCAAGAAGCCCCGGCUAACUACGUGCCAGCAGCCGCGGUAAUACGUAGGGGGCAAGCGUUAUCCGGAAUUACUGGGUGUAAAGGGAGCGUAGACGGUUAAGUAAGUCUGGAGUGAAAGGCCGGGGCCCAACCCCGGGACUGCUCUGUAAACUAUUGAACUUGAGUGCAG
rnacentral:rRNA from 1 species